GGUACCUCAGUUCGGAUUGCAGGCNGNAACCCGCCUGCAUGAAGCCGGAAUUGCUAGUAAUCGCGGAUCAGCAUGCCGCGGUGAAUACGUUCCCGGGCCUUGUACACACCGCCCGUCACACCAUGAGAGUCGGUAACACCCGAAGUCAGUAGCCUAACCGCAAGGAGGGCGCUGCCGAAGGUGGGAUUGAUAAUUGGGGUGAAGUCGUAACAAGGUAUC
rnacentral:rRNA from 1 species